rnacentral:rRNA from 1 species
UUCCGGUUGAUCCUGCCGGACCUGACUGCUAUCGGGAUACGACUAAGCCAUGCAAGUUGAAUGGUUCUCGUAACCAUAGCGUACUGCUCAGUAACACGUAGAUAACCUACCCUAAGGUUGGGGAUAAUCCCGGGAAACUGGGCAUAAUCCCCAAUAGAUAAGCUGUACUGGAAUGUCUCCUUAUCCAAACCUCCGGGGCCUUAGGAUGGGUCUGCGGCGGAUUAUGGUAGUAGGUGGGGUAACGGCCCACCUAGCCUUUGAUCCGUACCGGACAUGAGAGUGUGUGCCGGGAGAUGGCCACUGAGACAAGGGGCCAGGCCCUACGGGGUGCAGCAGGCGCGAAAACUCUACAAUGCCCGAAAGGGUGAUAGGGGAAUCCCGAGUGCUUCCUUAGCCGGAAGCUUUUCCCGAGCGUAAUGUUCUCGGGGAAUAAGGGGAGGGCAAGGCUGGUGCCAGCCGCCGCGGUAAAACCAGCUCCCCGAGUGGUCAGGAUGAUUAUUGGGCCUAAAGCGUCCGUAGCCGGUCGUGUAAGUCGUUGGUGAAAGGUCGGGUCUUAAGCCCGAAUUUGCUAGCGAUACUGCGCGACUUGGGACCGGAAGAGGCAAAUGGUACGUUGAGGGUAGGGGUGAAAUCCUGUAAUCCCCAACGGACCACCGGUGGCGAAGGCGAUUUGCUGGGACGGAUCCGACGGUGAGGGACGAAACCCAGGGGAGCGAGCGGGAUUAGAUACCCCGGUAGUCCUGGGUGUAAACGAUGCGCACUAGGUGUUGGCGAAGCUACGAGCUCCGUCGGUGCCGAAGCGAAGGCGUUAAGUGCGCCGCCUGGGGAGUACGGUCGCAAGACUGAAACUUAAAGGAAUUGACGGGGGAGCACCACCAGGGGAGGAGCCUGCGGUUCAAUUGGAUUCAACGCCGGG